CCCUUAGAUAUCCUAGGCUGCACGCGAGCUACAAUGGUAUAUAUAAAAGGUUGCUGCUCUGAGAAGACUGGCAAUACCCUGAUAUAUAUCGUAUUUGGAAUAGAUUUUUGUAAUUAUCAAUCUUGAACGAGGAAUUCCUAGUAAAAAUAUUUCAUCAUAAUGUUUUGAUUGUGUCCCUGCCCUUUGUACACACCGCCCGUCGCUCCUACCGAUUGAAUGGUCCGGUGAAGCGUUCGGACCGUGGCCUUUGGACGGUUCGCCGUCUGUUGGCUGCGGGAAGUUCGUUAAACCUUAUCAUUUAGAGGAAGGAGAAGUCGUAACA
rnacentral:rRNA from 1 species